UCUUUCGUCAAAUAGAAGCCAAGUCUUGGGGAGAGUUGAGCUUUGCAUGGAAACUGACACACACUUUCUACUCUUCAGGAAUUAGGUAUCUGAAGUGGGGUAGAUGGGG
rnacentral:miRNA from 14 species